rnacentral:lncRNA from 1 species
CCCAGAUCUCGGAUCAAGAACCUUUUGGCUACUUCCCUUCCUGACCCUGAUAUUCCAAUUUCUUAACUCUCAUUUAUGACAAAAAACAAACCCAAACAACCCAAAGCUUUCCCUCCUUUUUUUUGGCUCUCCUCAGUUAUUUGGAAGCUGCGCUGGUUCUGGGUUAUCCAAGGCAGUGACUCCCCAAAGUUGUGCUUCAGGGGUAGAAAUUCCUGCUGGAGGAGCUCCCACAACUCACCUUCGCUCCAGCCUUUAGGAAAAAGAUUUCCUGAGGAUCGAAGAGGAGCUGAUUGACUGGCCACUGCUCCUGGAUCUUCUGGGAAAAUUUCCUCACUGAAAAGAAGCUCAGGAAUUGGGAAGGAGUUUGCACAGGGAGGUUGUGGAGUUCCCAUCCCUGGAGGUUUUCAAGACAGAGCUCAAUAAUUCUACGAAUUCUGUAAAAACUCUGAGUUUUGUUGUUUU